UGUGAACUCGAAGAGUAGGGCGGGACACGUGGUAUCCUGUCUGAAUAUGGGGGGACCAUCCUCCAAGGCUAAAUACUCCUGACUGACCGAUAGUGAACCAGUACCGUGAGGGAAAGGCGAAAAGAACCCCGGCGAGGGGAGUGAAAAAGAACCUGAAACCGUGUACGUACAAGCAGUGGGAGCACCUUCGGGUGUGACUGCGUACCUUUUGUAUAAUGGGUCAGCGACUUAUAUUCUGUAGCAAGGUUAACCGUAUAGGGGAGCCGCAGGGAAACCGAGUCUUAACUGGGCGUUAAGUUGCAGGGUAUAGACCCGAAACCCGGUGAUCUAGCCAUGGGCAGGUUGAAGGUUGGGUAACACUAACUGGAGGACCGAACCGACUAAUGUUGAAAAAUUAGCGGAUGACUUGUGGCUGGGGGUGAAAGGCCAAUCAAACCGGGAGAUAGCUGGUUCUCCCCGAAAGCUAUUUAGGUAGCGCCUCGUGAACUCAUCUUCGGGGGUAGAGCACUGUUUCGGCUAGGGGG
rnacentral:rRNA from 1 species